rnacentral:rRNA from 1 species
GAUGAACGCUGGCGGCGUGCCUAAUACAUGCAAGUCGAGCGAACAGAUGAGGAGCUUGCUCCUCUGACGUUAGCGGCGGACGGGUGAGUAACACGUGGAUAACCUACCUAUAAGACUGGGAUAACUUCGGGAAACCGGAGCUAAUACCGGAUAAUAUAUUGAACCGCAUGGUUCAAUAGUGAAAGACGGUUUUGCUGUCACUUAUAGAUGGAUCCGCGCCGCAUUAGCUAGUUGGUAAGGUAACGGCUUACCAAGGCAACGAUGCGUAGCCGACCUGAGAGGGUGAUCGGCCACACUGGAACUGGGACACGGUCCAGACUCCUACGGGAGGCAGCAGUAGGGAAUCUUCCGCAAUGGGCGAAAGCCUGACGGAGCAACGCCGCGUGAGUGAUGAAGGUCUUCGGAUCGUAAAACUCUGUUAUUAGGGAAGAACAAAUGUGUAAGUAACUAUGCACGUCUUGACGGUACCUAAUCAGAAAGCCACGGCUAACUACGU